rfam:Myotis lucifugus cont2.6082, whole genome shotgun sequence.
AAGCACUGUUCGUGACCUGUUAGUCUUGCUGUGGCUAACGGGUUCCAUUCCAGUGCUACAGCAGUCCCAGUGAACUGUGAUUGACUGACUGACUGGUGGCUCUCAGUUUCGGGUCUUGGAGACAAGC